GACGAACCGUACGAACGUUAUUCGGAAUUACUGGGCUUAAAGGGUGCGUAGGCGGCGCAGUAAGUUGGGUGUGAAAUCCCUCGGCUUAACCGAGGAAUUGCGCCCAAAACUACUGUGCUCGAGGGAGAUAGAGGUGAGCGGAACUUAGGGUGGAGCGGUGAAAUGCGUUGAUAUCCUAAGGAACACCGGUGGCGAAAGCGGCUCACUGGAUCUCUUCUGACGCUGAGCCGCGAAAGCCAGGGGAGCGAACGGG
rnacentral:rRNA from 1 species